rnacentral:rRNA from 1 species
GAUGAACGCUGGCGGCGUGCCCAAUACAUGCAAGUCGAGCGAACGGACGAGAAGCUUGCUUCUCUGAUGUUAGCGGCGGACGGGUGAGUAACACGUGGAUAACCUACCUAUAAGACUGGGAUAACUUCGGGAAACCGGAGCUAAUACCGGAUAAUAUUUUGAACCGCAUGGUUCAAAAGUGAAAGACGGUCUUGCUGUCACUUAUAGAUGGAUCCGCGCUGCAUUAGCUAGUUGGUAAGGUAACGGCUUACCAAGGCAACGAUGCAUAGCCGACCUGAGAGGGUGAGGGGCCACACGGAAAAAGAGAAACGGAACAGAGAACAACGGGAGGCAGCAGUAGGGAAGAUGCCGAAAGGGGCGAAAGCUUGACGAAGAAAAGCGGGGGGAGUGAUGAAGGGCUUAGGAUCGUAAAACUCUGUUAUUAGGAAAGAAAAAAUAAGUAAGUAACUGCGAAAAUCUUGAGGGUACCAAAUAAGAAAGCAACGGCUAACUACGU